UACGUAGGUGGCGAGCGUUAUCCGGAAUUAUUGGGCGUAAAGAGCGCGCAGGUGGUUGAUUAAGUCUGAUGUGAAAGCCCACGGCUUAACCGUGGAGGGUCAUUGGAAACUGGUCGACUUGAGUGCAGAAGAGGGAAGUGGAAUUCCAUGUGUAGCGGUGAAAUGCGUAGAGAUAUGGAGGAACACCAGUGGCGAAGGCGGCUUCCUGGUCUGUAACUGACACUGAGGCGCGAAAGCGUGGGGAGCAAACAGGAUUAGAUACCCU
rnacentral:rRNA from 1 species